CCGAUCUUAGCUCAGCUGGAAGAGCGAAGGACUGUAAUUGUGCAGAGACAUCCGUAGGUCGCCUGUUCGAUCCAGGUAGAUCGGA
rnacentral:tRNA from 1 species